GCGAUGUUGUCACAAACGGUUUCGCUGCGUCCUGUGGGAAAAUACCGGUUUGGAGAAACAGGAAGGAGGAGGCCACACAUGUGCGAGUCCAGCGCAAGAAAGGUUGUCUUUCUACGCACUAGAAACAUAAUGGGAGCAACGCCUUUUCACCAUAUGUUAAUGUGAAGAGUGAACAGUAAAUGGUUAAUCUUACUGCGAUCUGGUUUGCAUUGGCUGUGGUUUAUCCGGACGUUAAAUUCGGCGUUUCGUUACACCCGAAGGAGAACGUUACAGACAAGAGGACAAGACCAAAACAUAUGAGUCAGAGAGGCUUCCUCAGAUUGACAUCUAUCUCAAAUCGGAUUUACAUGGUGGAGGUGAGAUGUGUGAUGAGCAAACCAGGCUGAGAUGAGGUCCAGAGUUGACCCCCCUGUGAGCUAUGCUACUAACAAGAGAGAGAGAAGAAGAGGGGGGAGGCAUCCUUCUGCAGGUACUGAUAAUGAGAGAGAGAGGGAUGAUUUAGUAUUAUGGCUUCUUCGCUAAUUGUUUACUUUGCUCCAAGGACACCUUCUUUGCUUGCUCAUGUGGAUUCCUGCUGAGACAGCAAGGCAGUACCAGGUGAUGGACAGCUGAUGAAUGGCUGGUACCCUGUCAGGGGAGAUAAAAAGCAAGUCUGCUGAGACACAGACAGACACACCACGGGAAACUGAAUGAGUGUUGUGCACCCACAGGAAGAUGGGGUUUGGAGGAUUGAUUCAGGGGAAAUCAACCAGAGGCUUA